CUAUACAUACAUAUAUGGUAAAUGACAAAAGAAUGUACAUAAAAAAUCUGUCAUGUAAAAUAUAUAUAUGUAUUAUUUUUUUUUUGAAUUUUUUUUUUUCUGAUUAUUUUUUUGUUUUGGGGGAUUUCAGUUUGUGGAACUUAAAUCUAAAG
rnacentral:ribozyme from 1 species